rnacentral:rRNA from 1 species
UACGUAGGUGGCAAGCGUUGUCCGGAAUUAUUGGGCGUAAAGCGCGCGCAGGUGGGAUAAUAAGUCUUUUGUAAAAGUGCGGGGCUCAACCCCGUAUAGCGACGGAUACUGUUAUUCUUGAGUGCCGGAGAGGAAAGCGGAAUUCCCAGUGUAGCGGUGAAAUGCGUAGAUAUUGGGAGGAACACCAGUGGCGAAGGCGGCUUUCUGGACGGUGUCUGACACUGAGGCGCGAAAGCCAGGGGAGC